AGAACAUGUUAACAGAAGAGCUACUAAGACAGUGAAAUUGCAACGUAAAACGAUCCCUUCCGGGUCAAACAAUCAUCAGUCAUCACCAUUCAACAAGUGGUUUGAAGGCAAGUCUUUUUGCGUAAGUGCCUUGUACCAGUUGUCAAGUCAGUUUCAGUAGAAAAUGACUCGCCCACGUAAAAUCAAGUUGAGGUCCGUGGAAUUUAAAGGAGCGUUUCCAUCCGAGAUGACAUGAUGAUGAUGAUGAUACUGCCUUGAUGGAAAGAUUUCACCGUCGUCCCAUCCUUCACCCUUCGUCUGUUCAAUCGAGAUUCAGAUUAAUCAGGGCCCGGCCCGAUUCCAAGAUGCUACCAAACUGACCUCUGUUCAGCUUCUUACAAUCGUGGACAUCCCAACAAACCACCCUCAAGGGCCGCCGCUGAACUGCCUCAUCCGGACAUGUGCCUAACCAGACACAGCCUUAAACAGGCAUGUCCUUGUACAGGCACAUUCACAAUCCGCUACGCCUUAUUUCGACACGUUUCCAUCUCAACACGCCCAUCCCGAAACUCCUCAUCUUGACUAGAGUUGUGCAUUGGACCCGACGUUUUCGAUUCUAAUUCCGUUGGUCUUUGAUUUGAUCGGCCGUUUUGUUCUUACUUGGAUGUGGACCUGAAUUUUUUUGAAAUUUUUGCACCUGUCAGGAGAUAAACGAAGAAUUAAAGGCCAUUCUGGAAGCUUAAAAAGAACGAGAAACGCACAAUUCUUUGAGUCUUUGGGGCGUUACAAUUACACAAUUUCGAAAUAUAACGGCAUUAGAGUUCCAUUUUCGAAAAAAGGAACGAAUUACUGUAAUUUUGUUACUUGUAAUUUAGUAACUAAUGCCCUGCCAAAAAGACAGAACCUUAAAAGCUACCAGUCUAAUCAAAUAACACUUAACAUAGUCUGUUGUACUGAUCAGGGUCUUGGGUGUUGUUAUGGAGGAAUGUUCUUAUCAUUCAUUGGCCUUGUAGGCUCUAUAAUACGUUGCAAACAUUUUGCCUUAUCUUUUUAGUCUCAUAUCAUCUUGAACAGUUUCAUGAGUGAACUAGUUGGUAACAGUGAAGACAGUACCUGAAAUAAAGAAAUUAAUAAAGCCAUUGAUUACUUCAGUGGUUCAAUCCUUGGCAUCAGAAGAACAGACCAAAGCAAAUUCAAUUUACAAUUGAAGACACCAAAGAUAACAUUUGUCCAUCACAAGAAGGUCCUAGAAUUUGGUUUUCAAACCAACAUCAAAUCAAAGCCUUUUAUUUUUGUCGCUGAAUUCUACGAGGAUUUUCAAUCAUCUAGUUCAUGUGGCGGAAAGCUGAUUUGGAGCUGGUCCCUUUGCAGUUCGUCAAAAACUCGUAACCAGAUGUUAAAGAGCCGCCUCAAGUCAAACCAAUUGUCCCAUGGGAUGUUAUGGGCCUUCGAAUAAAUGAUCUCAGCAAUGUAAACAUUGAUCCAUAUCUUCCAUGCCGGUAUUGUUUUGUCCAAGUUGAUAUCACAACGAUGGACAGUGCUCAAGUUUGAGAUGGACAAGGCCUUUGGAUCUACUUCAUGGAGACUCUUGCCUUUCAAUGCAAUGCAGAACGAGGUCCUCUCAUUUUCGAACUGCACCCACAGAACAAGUGGAUAAGUGGGGAUGCUUAGGUUUGGAGACUCCCUUUGGAUCACGUGGAACUGUUCUACCGCUUUAAUUGGUCCAUAUUGACGAAUCCAUUUGCCGUGUUUGGCCACGAACUCUUGAACACCAAGCCACUCUGAAUGCUCCAAAACUCGCGUAG